AUUGAACGCUGGCGGCAGGCUUAACACAUGCAAGUCGAACGCAGUGGGGACGGGUGAGUAACACGUGGGUAACCUCCCAUAAGAGGGGAUAACACUUGGAAACAGGUGCUAAACCGAUACUGAUGGAUGGACCCGCGGUGCAUUAGCUAGUUGGUGAGGUAACGGCUCACCAAGGCCACGAUGCAUAGCCGACCUGAGAGGGUGAUCGGCCACACUGGGACUGAGACACGGCCCAGACUCCUACGGGAGGCAGCAGUAGGGAAUCUUCGGCAAUGGGGGCAAGCCUGACGCAGCCAUGCCGCGUGAAUGAAGAAGGCCUUCGGGUUGUAAAGUUCUUUCGGUGAAGAGGCGUUAAUCACCGAAGAAGCACCGGCUAACUCCGUGCCAGCAGCCGCGGUAAUUC
rnacentral:rRNA from 1 species